AGUGGCAGACGGGUGAGUAAUGUAUAGGAAUCUACCUAGUAGUACGGAAUAAUUGUUGGAAACGGCAACUAAUACCGUAUACGCCCUACGGGGGAAAGAUUUAUCGCUAUUAGAUGAGCCUAUAUUAGAUUAGCUAGUUGGUAAGGUAAUGGCUUACCAAGGCAAUGAUCUAUAGCUGAUCUGAGAGGAUGAUCAGCCACACUGGAACUGAGAUACGGUCCAGACUCCUACGGGAGGCAGCAGUGGGGAAUAUUGGACAAUGGGCGAAAGCCUGAUCCAGCCAUGCCGCAUGAGUGAAGAAGGCCUUUGGGUUGUAAAGCUCUUUCGGUGAGGAAGAUAAUGACGGUACUCACAGAAGAAGUCCUGGCUAACUCCGUGCCAGCAGCCGCGGUAAUACGGAGAGGGCUAGCGUUAUUCGGAAUUAUUGGGCGUAAAGAGCGCGUAGGCUGGUUAGUAAGUUAAAAGUGAAAUCCCAAAGCUCAACUUUGNAAUUGCUUUUAAAACUGCUAACCUAGAGAUUGAAAGAGGAUAGAGGAAUUCCUGGUGUAGAGGUGAAAUUCGUAAAUAUUANGAGGAACA
rnacentral:rRNA from 1 species